GACAGACAGACAGACAGACAGACAGACAGACAGACAGACAGACAGACAGACAGACAGACAGACAGACAGACAGACAGACAGACAGACAGACAAUUGACCCUAGUUCCCCACUCUGACAUGUGAGCAAGGACUGUAGGAACAUGUUGCAAGAGCUGUCUGUGAUUUGUAGAUUGACGUGGUGGUCUAGCAUAUGAAAAAAUAGCCUAUCGUGAAAGAAUUGUAAGCACACAUAAACAAAUGUAUUAAUUCAUUCCAGAGUAGUAAUAUUAUAAUACCUUUCUAUUGAAUAAAGACAGAGCAGAUAUCCUACCUUGUUCAGAGACUUUGUUCAGACAGGGAUAGACAGAGGCAGGUGCUAUAUGACAUCACCUUGACAGGAGAGAGUGCAGGGAAAACUUGGAUGGACCUCGAUGUAAUGUGCACAACGUGGGACUGUCACCCAGGACAGCAGCUGAUAAGCCUGUAGAGGUAUGUAUAGGGAACAGUACUAUCCAACUCAGGUCUGUAUGUACUCUUACGUAAUUUCCCCCACACCUGAGGGUCAAAUAGCUAGUUAACGAUCCACCGGUAGACUUGAACAAAGGUUACCUUCUGCAGCAGUAGGUGCUGGAAACUGACAAGGAGGUUGUGUGGGGGGUAGCAGACUACAUUACAGCCUAUGGAUCUAGGUUAAGCCUGUGUUGACAUUGCUGUGAAUGUUUACGUGAAUGUUAAACAGUUUUAAGACACAUUUCAUGAGAAACAUAUUUCUGAUUCUAAGAAUAUGAAGUAAAACCAUCACUUUAGCUCAAGACACUGAUCAUUUUGACUGGACUAAAGCAAGCUAUUGUGUCAGCCCUUAUCAGUUCUAAAUCAUGGGGAUGUAACAUUAAUCGAUAUAGCAAGAUAACUUCUGAAAGUUUAUGAGAAAAGAGGAGACUUUGACACACAUACACAGAUCUUUAAUCUGUGGAACAAACAUUGUGCAACAACAACUUGUUGUAGUGUGAAACACCUCUGCAUUGAAAUAAGUGUAACAAAUUAAUGUCAACUAAGUUGUUUUCUAAGAUUAAUGUAUAUUGUUAUUGACCCGUAUUUAAUUUCCAGUGGUUAAAUUCUGUAUUUUAGAUCAAAGUAUCAGUCUUAUGUUGUGUCUUGAGGGGUGUUGGAUUGUAUGACGUGAGAACUGCAAUAAUCUGAAGCUGGACGUGGUGUUUGAGUAAAUGCAGGUGAGAGUUCAACCACGUGCUCCAGUUAUUCUGGGCACCAAGGUCAUUUAGUCAUACCACCAGUCACACCACACCUGCCCUCACUUAUCAUUGCCGCAGCAAGUCUGGAGAUAUGCCAGAAAUAUUAACAGGGCUACAAUAUCAAAAUUGUACAUAGCAACAACUAUAUAUAGGCCAGACUUGUCUAUGAAAUUGGGUCCUGCUUGUGACAUCUCCCCCCCCCCCCAAAAUUGCUUAAUUAAAAAAAAAAAAACAUUCAAAAUAUUUUUUUUAUUUAAAAAAGUACAUACAGGAAAACUGUACAAUUACAUUAAUCAACAUAUCAAAGAUAGCAGACUGAACACAGCAGUGCAGAUCACCUCAAGAUAAAAACGUAGUAUUCAAUAUCUUUAAAUAUUAGCACUUCAAGUACUGGUGGGUAAUAACAUUCAAUCUGGAUAACGACACAAAACAAAUCAUAUGGCUAGAGAAAUGUAUCGACAAAUAUUACGAAAACAAGCAAAACCCAAACAUGACGGAGAGUAAACAAGGAGAACCAAUCUCCAAAAGAAAACAUGAGUCCUCGAUGGAUACAGACGACUUAAGCUUUUCACCACCGGGAAUCUGUUAAAAUCAAUAAAUGACAAACUGGGAAUACUUGAACUAGUCAGUAAAGAUAUAAAAUAAUUGUAGGCGAGCCUACAAAACAAACAAAACAAACAAACAAGCUAAAAGGGACAGUCAAGAAGAUUGAAAUGGACGUUAAUGAACUUAAAAAGGAGAACAUCUUUCUGAGAAAAGUCUAACGGCUCGUGUUCACUAGCACACGGUAUAUUUCCCAGAGUGGCUCGGUUGUGGGCGUGCUGGCAGCAUAUGGCAGCAUUAUAGCAGCACGUUUGAUUGUGCGUCAAUAAUUCAGCAUAGCAAAUUGUAUGAAGGUCUGGCUAUUAAAUGGGUAAAUAGUUUAAUCCUUUCUCAAUUUCAGGAAUUUAUUCACAGGUAAAUAAUAAUAUGCUUUAAAAUGCUCUGGUGACAAACACACUUUGUUGCCCUGUUUCAAAUCGUCCACAUGGCUGAAUCGUCCAUAUGGCUGGGAGAACCUAUUCAAGCAAGUAAAUACAUUUUGAAAAUGUAAAAAAUAAAAUGAUGCAUUAAAUAUCACCAGCUGCCUAACUUCAUAUUAGCUAGGUAUCUUGAUGUAUUUAUCACUGUAAAAAAAAAAACUCCAAAUGCAUUUGUAGGUAGCUAGCUAGCUGUCAAAGUGAGAGAGUAGGCUAUUGUGGAUAGGACAGUUACUUUGUAGUUUCAGUCCAUAGAAGUGAUGUUCAAAGGGAGAGUGUAGGCUAUUGUGGAUAGGACAGUUACUGUGUAGUUUCAGUCCAUAGAAGUGAUGACGGAGAUAAUAGUAACAUAAUAUUCAGUGCGGUCUAAUUUGAGUAUGAUGAAGUCAUAAGUGAUGAUGUUUCUUGUGAGUUCUUUGGUCCUCAGAUACAGAGAGCUGUGAAAGCCUGUCUGCAGACUGAAGAGGUCCCAAUGAAGAGCAGUGGUUCUUAGUCCUGGGGACUCAAAGAGAUACCUUUUAACUGGAGAUCCCUUCAAAAAGAUUGCCAACAGUUACCGUGUAGAGCACUGCCAGAUUGGGUGACCAGGGCCAUCUCGGACUGCCUCCUGGGGAAUUCAGGCGUGUGAAGGCGACCUGUGUCCUGCAUAACUUCAUACGAAUGGACACGAGGACCAGGAGGGGAUCUGCAGCUCGUCGCCGUGUGCCAGAGGAGAAGUCUGCUGCUCUGCAGGAUGUUUCAAGGAUGGUGUCCAACAACGCAGGAAGAGAGGCAAUCUGUGUGAACCCCUCCCGCAUCUGAACUGGCUACAUAGAGGGCACAGCAUGAUCAGAGGUAUGUUUUGACUGAGCCAACCCCCAGUCUUGUCAUCGCCACCUUACCCGCUCUUAAGAUAACCUUUGGACUGACUGGGAGCAAAAGGCUGGUUAGGAGACACCACUAGAGACACUAUUAUAUCUAUCGACACAUCCUCUUUCUUCCUCUGUUUUUAUAAUGCAGACCAGAUGUGCAUUGAAGUACAGAUUGAACUUGUAUUUAUAAUAUUACAAUUAUAAUAUUUAUAAUACAUGUAUUAUGUAUUUAUAACACUUGAAUAAUUACAUUCUUUCAAGAAAGUGUUUCACAUUCUCUACUGAUUGAAAUUAAGUCUCUCAUUUGAUGAAAUACUACACCUAUCCUGUGUUUAUCAGAUCAAUGCAAAUGAAGGAAAUUAGAUAUUGAGAUAAACCGGUUUUACAGUAUUUACAAGAUGCAGAGGAAGUGUGGUGUGCUGUAUUUAAAUUCUGUUUCUGUAUAUAUGAGUUCCAAAUCAUCAGCCUUUAACUAGUUAAAUCAUGUUUCUAGUCUAUUGAAUAGUUACAAUGAGUAACCAUUGAUGUCCCAGGGCCAGAAUUGGUAAACACUGUUGAAGUGUAAUGGGAGUCGUCUGAAGAAGAGGAAUUGGACCAAAGCGCAGUGUGGUAAGUUUUCAUGCCUUUUUAUUGUAACUGAACACUAUAACAAAAUAACAAAGAGAAAUAAAAGAAACCAAAACAGUCCUGUCAGGUGCAGAAAACACUAAACAGAAAAUAACUACCCACAAAAACCAUGUGGGAAAAAGCUACCUA